rnacentral:misc_RNA from 1 species
AUUUUUUGAAAGAACAUUAUUAAGUUGGAGUACAUCAAACUCACGACCAUAUUAUAAAAACAAACAAAAAAAAUUAAAAAAGCAUCACUCCAAACAGAUGGAGGAAGCAGCUUAUAGUAAAAAAAAAUUACUUUAAAAUCUCCUACUUGUAGUUUCUCUCUCCCUGAUAUUAACAUAAUUAUCAUCAUCUAUUUGAUGUGAAGAUUCCUACACUACUCUGG